rnacentral:rRNA from 1 species
GUGUCAGCCGCCGCGGUAAUACGGAGGGUGCAAGCGUUAUCCGGAUUUACUGGGUUUAAAGGGUGCGCAGGCGGAUAUGUAAGUCAGUGGUGAAAUCUUCCCGCUUAACGGGAAAACUGCCGUUGAUACUAUAGGUCUUGAAUUAUCUGGAGGUGAGCGGAAUAUGUCAUGUAGCGGUGAAAUGCUUAGAUAUGACAUAGAACACCAAUUGCGAAGGCAGCUCACAAAACUGUAACUGACGCUGAGGCACGAAAGCGUGGGGAUCAAACAGGAUUAGAUACCCUGGUAGUCC